UACAGAGGUCCCAAGCGUUGUUCGGAUUUACUGGGCGUAAAGGGCGCGUAGGCGGCGUGACAAGUCACUUGUGAAAUCUCCGGGCUUAACUCGGAACGGUCAAGUGAUACUGUCGUGCUAGAGUACAGAAGGGGCAACUGGAAUUCUCGGUGUAGCGGUGAAAUGCGUAGAUAUCGAGAGGAACACCUGCGGCGAAGGCGGGUUGCUGGGCUGAUACUGACGCUGAGGCGCGAAAGCCAGGGGAGCGAACGGG
rnacentral:rRNA from 1 species